GUGAUUCACUGCAAAUAUUCCAAAUGCUCCUCUGACUUGCAUCCUGAAGUCAAGGGGUUAAAAUAUGAGUUUGCUGCAUCCCUCAGAUGAGAAAGGACAACCUCUGUUUACAUUAAAGGUCCGUACUAUUUACUGCUGACAGAGAUUCAUCUCUGGAAUACAUAGUCUUACAAUAAGGUGAUGAUGUCCAUCUGAUUCUGAGAAUUUAAAUUGAUCUACAGAUCACUUUCAAACACUGUUACACAAGUGACCCGUCUGGUGGAUGAGGGAAAGGCUGUUGAUGUAGUCUACCUAGACUUCAGCAAAGCCUUUGACACUGUCUCCCACAGCAUUCCCCCGCAGAAGCUGGCAGCCCGUGGCUUGGACAGCUACGCACUUGGCUAGUGUGAGUUUAGUAAUGAAAUUUUCUGAAAACAUCUGGACAGCAGGAGGUAGCACUGAAGAUGCUAUUGGUUCCAUUACAGAUGACUGCAACAAAACUGACUAAAACCAGAAAAUACAGAUCCUGAAUGCUUGGACAAUGCCAAGAGCUUCAAAACUUUGAGAAUGUGGCAGAGGGAGAAAGGAAGAAAGUGGGUUUUGCUUCUAGGAAAUCCACACCCUAGAAUAGGAAACUGAAAUGAUGUCUCAGCAUGCUAUGCUACUAGAUCCCAAGGUUCAAAAGUGGGAGCUCCAGAGUUCACUCUGGACUGGGCAACUUAGAGUCGGACGUAAUCUUUCCACGUGGGAAAGCUAUUACAUGUCAGCUUACGCCUUUCUGGGCCAGUGGAGUAGGAAAUGCCUUAAGGACAGUGGCACAGUAAGACAGUAAUUCUUGUGUGAAUCUCUACCAAUUACUGGAUAUUGUUUAUCUGUAGAGCUAGAUUUAAGCUGCUACAUCCAGACCAAAAUUCUUAAAAUUGACACAGAACUCAUGCCUGAGGCUUUUCCUUUUCUUGUUUGUUUGUGACUCAUUGCCAGACAACAUGGAAAUGUUAAGUAAUCUCAGGAAAGCUGAUAGGAAAUGUUCUGCUAAGAGAAAUUUCGACACAGUAGGAGGGGAAUUUUUCAGCAGAAAUAAACAUCUCUUUUCUGCUUUUCUUUUUGUUUUAAACAAUACAUGGCUGAGCUUAUGGAAAGCACCCAAGUCUAUGAUAAAUAUGUGCAAGAGACUUCCACUUGUUGUCAAUAGAUUUCUCUUUGUUACAGCUGUCUGCAGCUUCUUAUCCUUAAAAAAUAAUUUCUUUUGUUGCCAAAAUUUUUGGCUGUGAGAGAAGGUUUCACCUUGUUACAGUAAUUUAAAAA
ensembl:lncRNA